AUACGUAGGGUGCAAGCGUUAAUCGGAAUUACUGGGCGUAAAGCGUGCGCAGGCGGUUAUGCAAGACAGAUGUGAAAUCCCCGGGCUCAACCUGGGUACUGCAUUUGUGACUGCAUAGCUAGAGUGCGGCAGAGGGGGAUAGAAUUCCGCGUGUAGCAGUGAAAUGCGUAGAUAUGCGGAGGAACACCGAUGGCGAAGGCAAUCCCCUGGGCCUGCACUGACGCUCAUGCACGAAAGCGUGGGGAGCAAACAGGAUUAGAUACCCUGGUAGUCCACGCCCUAAACGAUGUCAACUGGUUGUUGGGAGGGUUUCUUCUCAGUAACGAAGCUAACGCGUGAAGUUGACCGCCUGGGGAGUACGGCCGCAAGGUUGAA
rnacentral:rRNA from 1 species